rnacentral:rRNA from 1 species
UACGUAGGGUGCGAGCGUUGUUCGGAAUUACUGGGCGUAAAGAGCUCGUAGGCGGCCUGUCACGUCGCCUGUGAAAGCCCGUGGCUCAACCACGGGUCUGCAGGCGAUACGGGCAGACUAGAGUGUGGCAGGGGAGACUGGAAUUCCUGGUGUAGCGGUGAAAUGCGCAGAUAUCAGGAGGAACACCGGUGGCGAAGGCGGGUCUCUGGGCCAAUACUGACGCUGAGGAGCGAAAGCGUGGGGAGCGAACAGG